AUAACAAUACAGGACUCUUUAGAGGCCCUGUAAUUGUAAUGAGUCCACUUGAAAUCCUUUAACGCUGAUCGAUUGGAGGGCAAGUCUGGUGCAGAGUGACUGACCCGUGCGUGCUGCAGCUGAAA